GGGGUUGUGGCUCAUUGGUAGAGUGCUCGCCUUGCAAGUGCGAGACCCUGGGUUCAAUCCUCAGCACCA
rnacentral:tRNA from 1 species